rnacentral:rRNA from 1 species
CCAAAGUGUUCAAUAGAACUGUGGUAGGUGAGUAAUGUCCCCUACUAGAAAGGAGAGAGCAAGGCUGGUGCCAGCCGCCGCGGUAAAACCAGCUCUUCAAGUGGUCGGGAUAAUUAUUGGGCUUAAAGUGUCCGUAGCCGGUUUAGUAAGUUCCUGGUAAAAUCGGGUAGCUUAACUAUCUGCAUGCUAGGAAUACUGCUAUACUAGAGGGCGGGAGAGGUCUGAGGUACUACAGGGGUAGGGGUGAAAUCUUAUAAUCCUUGUAGGACCACCAGUGGCGAAGGCGUCAGACUGGAACGCGCCUGACGGUGAGGGACGAAAGCCAGGGGAGCGAACCGGAUUAGAUACCCGGGUAGUCCUGGCCGUAAACGAUGCAUACUAGGUGAUGGUACGGCCAUGAGCCGUAUCAGUGCCGUAGGGAAACCGUUAAGUGUGCCGCCUGGGAAGUACGGUCGCAAGGCUAAAACUUAA